AAUGAACGUUGGCGGCGUGGAUUAGGCAUGCAAGUCGAGCGAGAACCGUAGCAAUACGGGGACAGCGGCGAAAGGGACAGUAAUGUGUAGGUACCUACCCCGAGGUCUGGGAUAGCUGCGGGAAACUGCAGGUAAUACCGGAUAAUGUCUUCGGACCAAAGGUGUGAUUCCACCUUGGGAGGGGCCUGCAUCCUAUUAGCUUGUUGGCGGGGUAACGGCCAACCAAGGCGACGAUGGGUAGCGGGUGUGAGAGCACGACCCGCGUCAUUGGGACUGAGACACUGCCCAGACACCUACGGGUGGCUGCAGUCGAGGAUCUUCGGCAAUGGGCGCAAGCCUGACCGAGCGACGCCGCGUGCGGGAUGAAGGCCUUCGGGUUGUAAACCGCUGUCGUAGAGGAGGAAAUGCAGGGGGGUUCUCCCUUCUGUUUGACCUAUUCUAGGAGGAAGGACGGGCUAAGUUCGUGCCAGCCGCCGCCGUAA
rnacentral:rRNA from 1 species